rnacentral:rRNA from 1 species
CUACGUGCCAGCAGCCGCGGUAAUACGGAAGGUCCGGGCGUUUCCGGAUUUAUUGGGUUUAAAGGGAGUGUAGGCGGUCUGUUAAGCGUGUUGUGAAAUUUAGGUGCUCAACAUUUAACUUGCAGCGCGAACUGUCAGACUUGAGUACACGCAGCGCAGGCGGAAUUCAUGGUGUAGCGGUGAAAUGCUUAGAUAUCAUGAGGAACUCCGAUCGCGAAGGCAGCCUGCGGGAGUGUUACUGACGCUUAAGCUCGAAGGUGCGGGUAUCGAACAGGAUUAGAUACCCUGGUAGUCCGCACUGUAAACGAUGGAUGCCCGCCGUUGGCGCCCUGCGCCUGCGGCCAAGCGAAAGCAUUAAGCAUCCCACCUGGGGAGUACGCCGGCAACGGUGAAACUCAAAGGAAUUGACGGGGGCCCGCACAAGCGGAGGAACAUGUGGUUUAAUUCGAUGAUACGCGAGGAACCUUACCCGGGCUUGAAUUGCAGUCGCUGCCCACAGAGACGUGGGCUUCC